rnacentral:rRNA from 1 species
AUGACGACGCUGGGGAAGAGGCACCGGAACAGCAGCUCGAUGCGGCGGACCACGAGCAUGUCGGGCUUCGCGGUGCCGCCGGAGGAGGAGGCGGGUGCGGGGCGCCCGCCCACGCGGGCGGCCAGGGGCGCCUCGGCAGCGCCGGCGCAGACGGAGUGGGGCGCCGCCUCGGCCGCCUUCCAGAGGCGCCACUCGGGGGACUUCAACGCCGCCGUGGAGACGGCCGCCUUCCUCAAGGCCUGCGGCCUCUGCUGCCGCCGCCUCGGCCCCGGCCGCGACACCUUCAUAUACAUGGGCGAGGUGGCCUUCUGCAGCCUGGAGUGCAGGCAGCAGCAGAUGAACCUGGACGAGCUCAAGGAGAAGAAGUGCUUCCCGGCGACCGGCAGCGGCGGCUCCGACGGCACCAGCGGCACCGUGGCCGCCGCCUAG